ACGCUCGACACCUACGGGAGGCAGCAGUGGGGAAUAUUGCACAAUGGGGGAAACCCUGAUGCAGCGACGCCGCGUGAGCGAAGAAGUAUCUCGGUAUGUAAAGCUCUAUCAGCAGGGAAGAAAAUGACGGUACCUGACUAAGAAGCACCGGCUAAAUACGUGGCAGCAGCCGCGGUAAUCUGAGCGGGCUGGCAAGGC
rnacentral:rRNA from 1 species